rnacentral:rRNA from 1 species
CUAACACAUGCAUGUCGAGGGGUAUUUCGAUCUUCGGAUCGGAAACGACCGGCAAAUGGGUGAGUAAUACAUAUGCAACCUGCCCGUAGCUGGAGAAUAGCUUCCGGAAACGGAAAUUAAUACUCCAUAAUAUUCUAGUAUCGCAUGUUAUUAGAAUUAAAGCUUCGGUGGCUACGGAUGGGCAUAUGUCCCAUUAGCUUGUUGGUGAGGUAACUGCUCACCAAGGCUACGAUGGGUAGGGGGUCUGAGAGGAUGAUCCCCCACACUGGUACUGAGACACGGACCAGACUCCUACGGGAGGCAGCAGUGAGGAAUAUUGGUCAAUGGGCGAAAGCCUGAACCAGCCAUGCCGCGUGCAGGAUGACAGUCCUACGGAUUGUAAACUGCUUUUCUGCAAGAAGAAAUGUUCCGACGUGUCGGGAUUUGACGGUAUUGCAGGAAUAAGCAUCGGCUAACUCCGUGCCAGCAGCCGCGGUAAUACGGAGGAUGCAAGCGUUAUCCGGAUUCAUUGGGUUUAAAGGGUGCGUAGGCGGAUUAGAUAGUCAAAGGUGAAAGCCUGCAGCUUAACUGUAGAAGUGCCUUUGAUACUGCUAAUCUUGAGUACAGUUGAGGCGAGUGGAAUGUGUAGUGUAGCGGUGAAAUGCAUAGAUACUACACAGAACACCAAUUGCGAAGGCAGCUCGCUAAGCUGUUACUGACGCUCAGGCACGAAAGCGUGGGGAGCGAACAGGAUUAGAUACCCUGGUAGUCCACGCUGUAAACUAUGAUCACUAGCUGUUGGCGAUAAAUUGUCAGUGGCUCAGCGAAAGCGUUA